GAUGGCUGUCAGCAACACUACACUCAGAAGAUUUCCCUGUGCGGAGGGCUCUAAGCGAACAGACCAGAACUCCGGAGCCUGUCUGGAAAUAUAAAACCACUCAAGAAAUGGAUGACAAACUAUUGCAAUAAACCAGAAAUAGGAAACCACCAUCAGGUUCCAGCGGGAGUUGGAUGUCAAAUCCACAAAGCUGAACUUCAAAGUGUUUUAACAGAUUAAAAAAAUAGAAGACCACAGAAACCACAUGGACCACAGA